UGAAUACGAGACGCUAAGGCGUUGAAGUAGUGUAUGUCAUACUUUCAAGAAAAGCUUGCACUGUCAUAGAUAAAAAACGCCUGUACCAUAACCGACACAGGUGGGUAGGUAGAGUAUACUAAGGGGCGCGAGAUAACUCUCUCUAAGGAACUCGGCAAAAUAACUCCGUAACUUCGGGAGAAGGAGUGCCUUAUUUAUAAGGCUGCAAUAACAAGAUCCAAGCAACUGUUUAUCAAAAACACAGGUCUCCGCUAAGUCGUAAGGCGAUGUAUGGGGGCUGACGCCUGCCCAGUGCCAGAAGGUUAAAGAAGUUGGUUAGCAAUAGCGAAGCUGAUAACUGAAGCCCUGGUGAACGGCGGCCGUAACAAUAACGGUCCUAAGGUAGCGAAAUUCCUUGUCGGGUAAGUUCCGACCCGCACGAAAGGCGUAAUGAUUUGGAUACUGUCUCGGAGAGGGGCUCGGUGAAAUAGACUUGUCUGUGAAGAUGCGGACUACCUGCACCAGGACAGAAAGACCCUAUGAAGCUUUACUGUAACUUGAAAUUGAAAUUGGACUUUAUUCGCGCAGUAUAGGUGGGAGGCGUUGAUUGUAAUCUUGCGGGAUUAUUGGAGCCAUCAGUGAGAUACCACCCUUGUAAUGUUAGAUUUCUAACUUUGAAUCAUUAUCUGGUCAAAGAACAGUUUCAGGCGGGCAGUUUGACUGGGGCGGUCGCCUCCUAAACGGUAACGGAGGCGUACAAAGGUUUCCUCUGAACGGUUAGAAAUCGUAUCUAGAGUGUAAAGGCAUAAGGAAGCUUGACUGUGAGACCUACAAGUCGAGCAGGGACGAAAGUCGGUCUUAGUGAUCUGACGGUACUGAGUGGAAAGGCCGUCACUCAACGGAUAAAAGUUACUCUAAGGAUAACAGGCUGAUCUCCCCCAAGAGUUCACAUCGACGGGGAGGUUUGGCACCUCGAUGUCGGCUCAUCGCAUCCUGGGGCGGUAGUACGUCCCAAGGGUUGGGCUGUUCGCCCAUGAAAGCGGUACGCGAGCUGGGUUCAGAACGUCGUGAGACAGUUCGGUCCAUAUCCGGUGUAGGCGUUAGAAUAUUGAGAGGAGCCUUCUUUAGUACGAGAGGACCGAGAAGGACAUACCUCUGGUGUACCAGUUAUCGUGCCAACGGUAAACGCUGGGUAGCUAUGUAUGGAGUGGAUAACCGCUGAAAGCAUCUAAGUGGGAAGCCCACCUC
rnacentral:rRNA from 1 species